rnacentral:rRNA from 1 species
GACGAACGCUGGCGGCGUGCUUAACACAUGCAAGUCGAACGGUAAGGCCCUUCGGGGUACACGAGUGGCGAACGGGUGAGUAACACGUGGGUGAUCUGCCCUGCACUUCGGGAUAAGCCUGGGAAACUGGGUCUAAUACCGGAUAGGACUCCUGGCUUCAUGGUUGGGGGUGGAAAGCUUUUGCGGUGUGGGAUGGGCCCGCGGCCUAUCAGCUUGUUGGUGGGGUAAUGGCCUACCAAGGCGACGACGGGUAGCCGGCCUGAGAGGGUGACCGGUCACACUGGGACUGGGAUACGGCCCAGACUUCUACGGGAGGCAGCAGUGGGGAAGAUUGCCAAAUGGGCGCAAGCCGGAUGCAGCGACGCCGCGUGAGGGAUGACGGCCUUCGGGUUGUAAACCUCUUUCAGCUAUGACGAAGCGCAAGUGACGGUAGUAGCAGAAGAAGGACCGGCCAACUACGUGCCAGCCGCCGCCGUAA